rfam:Felis catus isolate Cinnamon breed Abyssinian chromosome B2, whole genome shotgun sequence.
ACCUGGGUGGCUCAAUCGGUUGAGCAUUUGACUUUGGCUCAGGUCAUGUUCUUGCAUUCGUGGGUUCGAGCCCCACCUCAGGCU